GCCAGCCAGCUUCCCUGACGGCAAACAUAAAAGAUGCUUAAGAAUGAUGUUCCCACUGAACCGGGGAAUGGGAAGAAAAUUUCCACUACAAGCAGCAGCAGUCUCAUGUCUUUCGACGCCACUUCUCUCUGAGCCUCUCUCAUCCUCCACCAGUCCUCUAAGAGAAUCACUGUGAUGGUGUCAUUCCAUCGUGAACUUGCUCUUCCUUGCAUAUGCUGGAAAGCACACUGGGCUUCAUCUGAUAAUCUUCUUCAAGACAGUUUAAGCAGCACAUCCUCUCAAAAGCUGAUGCCAAUUACCAAAGCUGAG
rnacentral:lncRNA from 1 species